rnacentral:rRNA from 1 species
AGUGAACGCUGGCGGUAGGCCUAACACAUGCAAGUCGAACGGCAGCACAGUAAGAGCUUGCUCUUACGGGUGGCGAGUGGCGGACGGGUGAGGAAUACAUCGGAAUCUACUUUUUCGUGGGGGAGAACGUAGGGAAACAUACGCUAAUACCGCAUACGACCUACGGGUGAAAGCAGGGGAUCUUCGGACCUUGCGCGAUUGUAUGAGCCGAUGUCGGAUUAGCUAGUUGGCGGGGUAAAGGCCCACCAAGGCGACGAUCCGUAGCUGGUCUGAGAGGAUGAUCAGCCACACUGGAACUGAGACACGGUCCAGACUCCUACGGGAGGCAGCAGUGGGGAAUAUUGGACAAUGGGCGCAAGCCUGAUCCAGCCAUGCCGCGUGUGUGAAGAAGGUCUUCGGAUUGUAAAGCCCUUUUGGUGGGGAAGAAAAGCAGUAGGUUAAUACCUCGCUGUUCUGACGUUACCCAAAGAAUAAGCACCGGCUAACUUCGUG